rnacentral:tRNA from 1 species
GAGGGCGCCAUAAGAUCUGCUAACUCUUUAAUCUGGAA